GAUGAACGCUGGCGGCGUGCUUAACACAUACAAGUCGAACGGAAAGGCCUCUGCUUGCAGGGGUACUCGAGUGGCGAACGGGUGAGUAACACGUGGGUGAUCUGCCCUGCACUUCGGGAUAAGCCUGGGAAACUGGGUCUAAUACCGGAUAGGACAAUGGUUUGGAUGCUGUUGUGGAAAGUUUUUCGGUGUGGGAUGAGCUCGCGGCCUAUCAGCUUGUUGGUGGGGUAAUGGCCUACCAAGGCGUCGACGGGUAGCCGGCCUGAGAGGGUGUACGGCCACAUUGGGACUGAGAUACGGCCCAGACUCCUACGGGAGGCAGCAGUGGGGAAUAUUGCACAAUGGGCGCAAGCCUGAUGCAGCGACGCCGCGUGGGGGAUGACGGCCUUCGGGUUGUAAACUCCUUUCGCUAGGGACGAAGCGUUUUUGUGACGGUACCUGGAGAAGAAGCACCGGCUAACUACGUG
rnacentral:rRNA from 1 species